CCUACGGGAGGCAGCAGUGGGGAAUUUUGGACAAUGGGCGCAAGCCUGAUCCAGCAAUGCCGCGUGCAGGAUGAAGGCCUUCGGGUUGUAAACUGCUUUUGUACGGAACGAAAAAGUCUGCCCUAAUACGGUGGGCCCAUGACGGUACCGUAAGAAUAAGCACCGGCUAACUACGUGCCAGCAGCCGCGGUAAUACGUAGGGUGCGAGCGUUAAUCGGAAUUACUGGGCGUAAAGCGUGCGCAGGCGGUUAUAUAAGACAGAUGUGAAAUCCCCGGGCUCAACCUGGGACCUGCAUUUGUGACUGUAUAGCUAGAGUACGGUAGAGGGGGAUGGAAUUCCGCGUGUAGCAGUGAAAUGCGUAGAUAUGCGGAGGAACACCGAUGGCGAAGGCAAUCCCCUGGACCUGUACUGACGCUCAUGCACGAAAGCGUGGGGAGCAAACAGGAUUAGAUACCCUGGUAGUCCACGCCCUAAACGAUGUCAACUGGUUGUUGGGUCUUCACUGACUCAGUAACGAAGCUAACGCGNGAGUGACGCGNGGAGGUAACGGUCGCGAGUUAGUAAGUUAGAAGAAGUUGAGCGNGAGAGNGCGAGCGACGACGAGGAGGAGG
rnacentral:rRNA from 1 species